rnacentral:piRNA from 1 species
UGCCAGGGAAUCGUGCGGAUGGCACAGGC